CCUACGGGUGGCAGCAGUAGGGAAUCUUUCACAAUGGGCGAAAGCCUGAUGGAGCAACGCCGCGUGCAGGAUGAAGGCCUUCGGGUUGUAAACUGCUUUUAUAAGCGAGAAAUAUGAUGGUAACUUAUGAAUAAGGAUCGGCUAACUACGUGACAGCAGCCGCGGUCAUACGUAGGAUCCGAGCAUUAUCCGGAGUGACUGGGUGUAAAGAGUUGCGUAGGUGGCAUAAUAAGUAGCUAGUGAAAUCUGGUGGCUAAACCAUUCAGACUAUUAGCUAAACUGUUAAGCUCGAGACCGUUAGGGGUAACUGGAAUUUCUAGUGUAGGAGUGAAAUCCGUAGAUAUUAGAAGGAACACCAAUAGCGUAGGCAGGUUGCUGGGACGGUUCUGACACUAAGGCACGAAAGCGUAGGGAGCAAACGGGAUUAGAUACCCCAGUAGUC
rnacentral:rRNA from 1 species